GUUCAGUAGCUUAGCGCAAUCGUGUCCCAUCACAACAAGAAAUUUCAAAACUUGUAAUGAUAACGAUGAAGAGCGAAGAGAUGCCGGACUGUCCUAACCUAGAGCUGUUAUGUGACGAGGGACAUGUUCAUAUCAUUGUUCCUGCUUCCGUGUUCUUAUCAGUGUCAUAAUCGAGAUAUUUUAGAGACUGUUUUGGUUCAAAUUUUACAACCCAACGUUAAUAGUUGUAGCCAUAUAGGUUAGUGCUGUAAACUACUGGCCUGUCCUUCCCCCUAAGCUAACCUAGCUAACUCUAGCUGACCUUAUUCGUUUUAUUAGUCGGAUGGUAGGCAAUGGCUCUUAAACAUAGCUGGGGAAACUUUCUAUGCUGUAAUUUUUAAGUAACUCAGCCAGCUACAGUUCAUUAAAGUAGCCUAAAAUUAGGCACUCAGAGCUUCACCCCAGUGUACGGAAUGGGUCUGUUCAUAGACUCCAGCCUUACUCGCAGCAUCUGACAAUGUGCAAGCUGACAAGGUUAAACAUCGAAGAACAAAUGGAGGAAGAUAAAGGAAAAGAUGAUUCCAGAGGGAUUGGAAACCGUUUCUCCAUGUCCAGAAAUGGUUUUGCAUUUGAUCCCUGGCACAGCACCCCUGUAAAGAAGCACACAGAUGAAGUCAGCAUGGCAAGACAGACUGCCCGGAGUCCUCAGCCGCCUUCUAAUCACAUAUCAUCUCUGUCCAUCAUGCAGAGCUCAAAGACUUCAGCAUGCGAUUUGGAGAUCUCUACCAUCCAAAAACAGAGGAUGGAGCUGCAGCUCCUUAUAGCAGAGCUGAAGGACCGUGACCAAGAGUUGAACACCAUGUCUGCAGCCCACCACAGGCAGCUCCAGGCCUGGGAGCAGGACCGACAGAGAGUACUGACUUUGGAGCAGCGGUGUGCUCGCCUUGAAGACGAGCUACAGAAGCGUAACGAGGUGAUCCGAGCCAUUAGCAAGCACUUAAAGAUUGUGGAGGCUCGAGAGAAGGACAUACACAGAGAGCUCAACACUGCGCAGCAACAGCUGAAGGAACUGAGCCAGAGACAACAGCACAGCGGCCAACAGCAACAUGACCUUGAGGAGAAGAAUCAGAGUCUGAACUCAACCAUCAUGACUCUCUCGUCCCAGGUUGGCCAGCUCCAGGUUCAUGAGGAAGAACUCAGUUCCAUGCUCAAACUGAAGGACAAAGACCUGAUGGAAGCAACCUUUCACAUUUUGGCUUUAACCAAUCGGCUGUGGGAGUCAGACACAUCAGUGAGGGAGUCUCAGAAACGUGAGGGCAUAACGUUACAGGAAACGGAGAAAUACAAACGUCACUUCAGAGAGGCCAGACAUGAAAAUGUUAAACUGAAAGAUGAGCUUCAGGAGAAGACUAUAGAGAACAACAGUCAGAGAGAAGAACUCAUUCGGCUUAAACAAGAGAACCAGCUGCUCAGGAAAGAACUGGCUCUGGCAGGUCAUGGUGAAAGCUGGAAGGAUGAGUUACUUGAACUAGCCAGAUCAAAGCAAGAGCGCACCGAAUCUGAGCUUCUCUGCCUGCGACAGGUGUGUGAGAAGCAGCUGAAUGACCUGCAGCUGUUGAAGCUUAACCUAGAGAGCACCAGAGAGGCACUGAGACUGUAUGAAGGUCAAAGGUCAUUCAAGAGGAUGUAUCCUGCCUUCCGCCCAAUGACCGCUGGGAUAGGCUCCAGCACCCCCUGAGGGAGAAGCGGCUUAGAAAGCGCGUGUGUGUGUGCGCAUUUACUGCUUGUAUUUCUGUCCUUUCUAUAAUGAAAGGCUACUUAUUUAAAGAUGAACCGAACAUGUUUUAGUUGGGGGUUACUUUAAUAUAACGCAAUACCCAAGUAAGGCUCGACUCUCAAGAAUCUCAAGACUUGGGUUCCUGAGAAUUUGUUUUGAUCUCUGGUGUCAUAAGGCUGUUUCCAUCUUGGUGUAUCUACAAGAACUUGUACAUAACUAUAACAUGUUUGUGGUUUUAGGUGUGAUAAUGUUACAGGAGCUGCUUUACAACAUAGUAUCCAUCAAGGAACAGAGUUAGGAGAGUCAGUGCAUCAGCAGUGCCAAAGCAGAAGCAUAGAUAUACAACCCCUCUCACCUCAAGGUGCAGUGGAGUCAGCUACAGAGAUCUCUGCCAUUACAUCAGGAUACAUUACUGAUAGUCAGAACAGUCUGAGUGGGCCGGAUUUCAGCUGCUGCAAGGAGGAGAAACAGGCAGAAAGGAAUAGCACUACUCCACCUACUAGCAAUGAACGUGAUGGGGCUAUGACUAAGCUAGGUACUGUAGUACUCCACUGUUGUGAUUGUAAUGACGCAACAGAGGAUGACUUCUCUGAGGUAGCUGACUAUGAAGGAGGAACUGAAGUGGACCUUGUGGCUGUCAUUAACUGUGAUUUAGACACUGAGACCCCAGUGCUGGUGGUGGAUGUCAGUCCAAAAAACCUGGAUCACUCUAGGUAUGAGAUUAAGUAAUUUAAAUAAUUGAUAGUCUGGAGAAGCAAGUUAUUAUUUUGUGGGUUUUGUAUGUUAUGUGUUGUCAGUUCUGUAUAUAACUUAACCACUGCAUUAGUAAUAGUAAUUCAGCAGGCUUUCUGAUGAUGAUAACCUUCACCUCAGUCCAGGGGAUGUAACCUGCCUGUAUGUGGAAUGCUCCACACCAUCGGCACAAAGUUGGAGAUGCCCUGCCCCAGUAGAGGAUGCAGCAUUAAACAGCAUCAGCAGCAGCACCCAGGAGGAGUACGACUCAUCCACGAGUCG